UACGGAAGGGGCAAGCGUUGUUCGGAAUCAUUGGGCGUAAAGGGCGCGUAGGCGGUUCUGUAUGUCUACCGUGAAAGCGUACGGCUCAACCGUAUUUUGUCGGUAGAAACUGCAGGACUUGAGGCUGGGAGGGGCUGGUGGAAUUCCCUGUGUAGCGGUGAAAUGCGUAGAGAUGGGGGAGAACACUCGUGGCGAAGGCGACUUCCUGGCCUGUUCUUGACGCUGAGGCGCGAAAGCUAGGGGAGCAAACGGG
rnacentral:rRNA from 1 species